rnacentral:rRNA from 1 species
GACGAACGCUGGCGGCGUGCCUAAUACAUGCAAGUCGAACGCUUCUUUCCUCCCGAGUGCUUGCACUCAAUUGGAAAGAGGAGUGGCGGACGGGUGAGUAACACGUGGGUAACCUACCCAUCAGAGGGGGAUAACACUUGGAAACAGGUGCUAAUACCGCAUAACAGUUUAUGCCACAUGGCAUAAGAGUGAAAGGCGCUUUCGGGUGUCGUUGAUGGAUGGACCCGCGGUGCAUUAGCUAGUUGGUGAGGUAACGGCUCACCAAGGCCACGAUGCAUAGCCGACCUGAGAGGGUGAUCGGCCACACUGGGACUGAGACACGGCCCAGACUCCUACGGGAGGCAGCAGUAGGGAAUCUUCGGCAAUGGACGAAAGUCUGACCGAGCAACGCCGCGUGAGUGAAGAAGGUUUUCGGAUCGUAAAACUCUGUUGUUAGAGAAGAACAAGGACGUUAGUAACUGAACGUCCCCUGACGGUAUCUAACCAGAAAGCCACGGCUAACUACGUG